CCUUCGGGGUCAGCGGCGGACGGGUGAGUAACGCGUGGGAACGUGCCUUCUGGUUCGGAAUAACCCUGGGAAACUAGGGCUAAWACCRRAUACGCCCUUUUGGGGAAAGGUUUACUGCCGGAAGAUCGGCCCGCGUCUGAUUAGCUAGUUGGUGGGGUAACGGCCUACCAAGGCGACGAUCAGUAGCUGGUCUGAGAGGAUGAUCAGCCACACUGGGACUGAGACACGGCCCAGACUCCUACGGGAGGCAGCAGUGGGGAAUAUUGGACAAUGGGCGCAAGCCUGAUCCAGCCAUGCCGCGUGAGUGAUGAAGGCCUUAGGGUUGUAAAGCUCUUUUAUCCGGGACGAUAAUGACGGUACCGGAGGAAUAAGCCCCGGCUAACUUCGUGCCAGCAGYYKCKUUUAWUACGAAGGGGGCUAGCGUUGCUCGGAAUCACUGGGCGUAAAGGGCGCGUAGGCGGCGUUUUAAGUCGGGGGUGAAAGCCUGUGGCUCAACCACAGAAUGGCCUUCGAUACUGGGACGCUUGAGUAUGGUAGAGGUUGGUGGAACUGCGAGU
rnacentral:rRNA from 1 species